UGGGGAAUUUUGGACAAUGGACGCAAGUCUGAUCCAGCAAUACCGCGUGCAGGACGAAGGCCUUCGGGUUGUAAACUGCUUUUGUACGGAACGAAAAGCCUUCUUCUAAUACAGGGAGGUCAUGACGGUACCGUAAGAAUAAGCACCGGCUAACUACGUGCCAGCAGCCGCGGUAAUACGUAGGGUGCAAGCGUUAAUCGGAAUUACUGGGCGUAAAGCGUGCGCAGGCGGUUGUGUAAGACAGGUGUGA
rnacentral:rRNA from 1 species